rnacentral:tRNA from 1 species
GAGGGUAUAGCUCAGUGGUAGAGUGCAUGCAGGUCCUGGGUUCAAUCCCCAGUACCUCUG